AACCCGGUGAUCUAUCCAUGGGCAGGUUGAAGGUUGGGUAACACUAACUGGAGGACCGAACCGACUAAUGUUGAAAAAUUAGCGGAUGACUUGUGGAUGGGGGUGAAAGGCCAAUCAAACCGGGAGAUAGCUGGUUCUCCCCGAAAGCUAUUUAGGUAGCGCCUCGUGAACUCAUCUUCGGGGGUAGAGCACUGUUUCGACUAGGGGGUCAUCCCGACUUACCAACUCGAUGCAAACUGCGAAUACCGAAGAAUGUUAUCACGGGAGACACACGGCGGGUGCUAACGUCCGUCGUGAAGAGGGAAACAACCCAGACCGCCAGCUAAGGUCCCAAAGUCAUGGUUAAGUGGGAAACGAAGUGGGAAGGCUCAGACAGCCAGGAUGUUGGCUUAGAAGCAGCCAUCAUUUAAAGAAAGCGUAAUAGCUCACUGGUCGAGUCGGCCCGCGCGGAAGAUGUAACGGGGCUAAACC
rnacentral:rRNA from 1 species